UACGAAGGGGGCUAGCGUUGCUCGGAAUCACUGGGCGUAAAGCGCACGUAGGCGGGUCGUUAAGUCAGGGGUGAAAUCCUGGAGCUCAACUCCAGAACUGCCUUUGAUACUGGCGAUCUCGAGUUCGGGAGAGGUGAGUGGAACUGCGAGUGUAGAGGUGAAAUUCGUAGAUAUUCGCAAGAACACCAGUGGCGAAGGCGGCUCACUGGCCCGGUACUGACGCUGAGGCACGAAAGCGUGGGGAGCAAACAGG
rnacentral:rRNA from 1 species